ensembl:lncRNA
CUAGGGUUAGGGUUAGGGUUAGGGUUAGGGUUAGGGUUAGGGUUAGGGUUAGGGUUAGGGUUAGGGUUAGAGUUAGGUUAGGGAUAGUGUUAGGGAUAGGGUUAGGGUUAGCAUUAGCAUUAGGGUUAGGGAUAGGGUUAGAGUUAGGGAUAGAGAUAGGGUUAGUGUUAGGGUUAAGGGUUAGAGAUAGGGAUAGGGUUAGGGUUUGGGCUAGGGUUAGGGAUAGGGAUAGGGAUAGGGAUAGGGUUAGGGUUAGGGUUAGGGUUAGGGUUAGGGUUAGGGUUAGGGUUAGGGUUAGGGUUAGGGUUAGGGAUAGGGAUAGGGUUAGGGCUCAGGUUAGCAUUCCAUGCUGAUUGCUGCUUCAUUUAUUUUUUGUUCUUUUUCACUGAGCUGCAUAGGACUACAGUUGACUUCCACAGCAGUGGUGGCUCUAUCACAGGUUGCUCCAUUAGAUGGCCCUACAGGUUUGCUACCUCAGAGCAGUGUGACCAAAG